CCCCCUUGAUCAGACAAGCCCUAAGAAUAACCAAGUGAACAGAAUUAAUAAUUUAGACUCGGCUUUGAGCCAUAUACCUCUCCAAGUUAAAUUUUUUCAAAACCCAACAUACACAGCCAUAUUUAGAAUGCAAAUCAAGGAAAAAUUUAAGUAUAUUCUAGGGUAAAAACUCAAGUAGGGUUUUGAAGCGUAUAAGAGCAUUUUGGACUCAAGAAACAUGAAUAACCAACAAGUUCCUUAUUUGCUUCAUGGUAGGAAAUUCUCUAGCAGCGAACCAAUGAAAGAAACAAGGUUUUCUCAAGUCAAGUCAGCAAGGUUGUGUCCAAAAGACUUUCAAACUAAAGACGUUGAGGCUAAAAGGUAGCAAGGUAGCAAGGUGCAAAACUGCGCUCCAAAUCAGAAUUUUUUGCAGCCAUGAAACAAGUACAAUCAUGAGGUUUUCACCUCCCAAUCUUCAUAGUUUUCAUUCAAAUUCAAGCACAAAAGGCUCCUCCAAAGUUUGGAACAGGUUUUGGCCAAAACCAAUUACUAAAAGGUUAGAAAAACAACAAUGUAAUAGGCUGCACUCUCCAUCGACAAACAAGCACAAUUUUAGCCAGCAAUUUGGAAGGAAAUCGCAAUGAAACCCUUCCAUUUCAACCAAAAUGCAAUACAUAAGCAAAGCUUAAAGGUUCACUAAGCAUAUUAGGCAAGUACAUCACCAAAUUAGUCCAAAAUCAAGGUAGUAAGCUGCCCCAAAAUUUGGACAGCAUAUCCCCUAUUUUAUCCUAUAUUUCCUCUCCAAAUUCAAUACAAAAUUUCAUGGCCAAACCAUCCAAAUCAAGACCACAAAUGAUAGGCUAUACAAGCUACUAGUUUCAGACCAUAAAGCCACAAAAAAUAUACAAGUAUUCUGUGACAGCCCCACUUCCCCCUUAGGCGAACCAGAGGGUUCAGCGGACCGCCUGCCCAACUCUCGCCGGGACUCAGUCGUUCACUCACACAAAUCAGAAAUAGAACCACAAGAAAAAGCAAAAUGAGGGUCCAAAACUUAAAACAAAACUUAUAUACAUUACUAUCUCAGAAAGAAGUACAACUUUCGAGAAUACAAAAGUUCUCAAGUCACCAUACAACCAGCCCGUGCCAAGGACUAGGGCGAGAACCAAAACAAAACCAAAACUAGACCCAGCCAGUCGAUACAGAGCUCUCGCCCUUGCUCGCCUACCCCUGAUAAGGAAAACAAAACUAAAGGGAUGAGCUAAAAGCUCAGUGAGGUUCCGAACAUGUAAUUAAACAACAAAGCCAAUACAUUGACCAUCAAUAAUCAAUAAUUCAAGAAACAUUUAGCAUGGAAAGAAAUAAGAACACAUACAUUAAAAGGAUACGGCUCACAUGGAGCAAUUCAUUCGAUCAUCCAUUCGUUCUCCUGACAUUUCCCCUUAUUCCUCCAAUCAUUUGAAAAUUUCAUUUUUGUAAAUAAACCCUCGUUCGUUCGUUCAUUCGUUCAUUUCAUUCACCCCCUCCUGGAAAUUGGCUAGGCUCCACCAACCUACAAGGUAAUACUCGAGUAUACCAAACGUUCACCCAGGUCACCAUAUCGCCCGACCGAGUCCGCUUCUGGCUCGAGUCGAUCAGUAACAAGGGGCAGUGGUCAGUUCAGCCAAAAGGCUUACAUUCAUGCACAAGUAACAUUUCUAUCGUUCAAUCAUUGAAAUUUCAUAAUCAUUUAGGCUGAGUGCGAUAAAGUACACACUCGCCUAGAAAACUCGUUUUGGCUAAUCAUUGAAAGCACUUAACACGUUAUCAACCAAUAAUACAAGUCAUGAAGUCAAGAAAAUACAACAAACAAGGAACACUCACCUAAUUAUGCAAAAUAACGUGCAAAAUAUCCUUCUGGAUAGUGUGACAGCCCCACCUCACCCUAAGGCGAACCAAAGGGUUUAGCGGACCGCCUGCCCAACUCUCGCCAGGACUACGGAGUUGAAUUACACAAAUCUGAUAUUACGCGAGAUAGGACCCAAAAGAAUUGAACGAUUGAAGACCGCCAAGCUUACAAGUAACUUACCAAAAUCACAUGGGGAAAACACUUUCAUAUAUACAUGUCGCUAGGUUUACAAUACAAGUGGAACUAGUGAAAUGAAAUACAUUUGGAGUUUGCUCACUCGCGAGGAGCUAUACAAAAGAACAAAAGAUUAUCUAACUAGCUCAACUUGCUUCUCAAAAUCAUGAUUUCCAAAAGAGGUUCCUGUAAGGAAAACAAAGAUAAUGAGGAGGGGGUGAGCUUACGCCCAAUGAGGUACCAAACAUGUAGCAGAAAAAUCAGGCAUUUCACGUUAUACAAAUCAGAUACACAUGUAAAGUAAGACAGGUAUAAAGUAAGACAGGUAAACACAAGAACUCAAAUAGGAAGGAUACAGGUGGCUCUCAGGAGCCAGCUUUCCAGCGCAGUACUUGAUCCAAGCCGGUUGACUCUCCGUCAACGUAUAUAGAACCAACACUUCCGUAGACCCCACUUUACACCCAAUUCCAUCCACCAAACACCCCUUUACCGGGCCCGCUCACCUCAACAGAAAUAGAAAUGGUAAUACUCGAGUAUACCGGAAUCAAGGGUCUCAAUACCCAAAGAUCCCAAAACAGACUACCGUGGUUUGUUAUCUAAUCGUCCAGGCCCUUGCCGGCCCGACUCGAAUAACUUAGCCAUAGGAUUUGAGCUCAUAGGUCACAGAAAGGUCGUUGGUUACAAGUUUCCAAAUGACGUUUGAACAGAUAUAGAUACAGAUUGACACCAAAAUUGGCAUAUGAACAGACAAGAGAACGAGUGUGAUAAAGUACACCCUCGUCUCAAACAAAUUAAACAGAUUGCAGAGCAGAAAUCAAGUUAAACAGCAAUGGAGGGGAGUGGUACACUCACCGGUUCAAGUACAGAUAGCUCAAAAGUUUUCACUUCGGAUUGGCUUUAAUCGCCAAGAAACCCUAAAAUAAUCAAAGUAAACCAAUUGAAGGUUUCACAUCCAGAAUCGAGUAAACAAAAUGCACAUGUGAGGCUCGACUACUAGUCGUAUGCCUCGCCAAAUAAUUACUAAUGCAAGGGUACAAAACAUGAUUUUUGGGAACAAAAAGGUAACAUGAAGACCUAGGUUCAACAACCCAAAAGCCCUUUAUUUCUAUCACAAGCCAAUUCAAACUUAAAGGAACCAAUCGGCCUAGAAAAAAUUGGACAGCACUUCCCCUAAAUUUCUUACUUUUCCAGCCAUCACGGCUUCAUUAUUUCCUCAAUCAACUCCCAAAGUCAUACUCAAUAUACAUUCAUCACCACAGCCGUUCAAUAGGCUCAAGGUUAUCCAAGUACAAAAGUUAGCUAGGAAAAUGACCGGAAAUAAAAGUUCAAAAAUGCAAGAUACUACAUCAAAAACGUAAAACAGAUUCACCAAAACGCAUUCUAGCGGAAACAUCAUAACUCAGGCUCUCCAAGUCCAAAUCUAGAAAUUCCAAAACCAGCUGAAAGCUAAGAAACAGGGAUAAAUUUCAUCAGAAGGCCUCAACAAUCAAUUCGGAAGUAAUUCCAGCCAAAACAACCAAUUACAGGCGCAAUUCUUACAUUCGGAUAAGACCAGGACAGCAAGGGUAAUUUUGACUUUUCUCAUUCUACACUACUCUGAUUGACCUGAAAUAUUUUAGGCACCUCUAAAAUGUUAUUCCCUACAACUUUCAUGUUUUAAGAUAAGGGCAAUUCGGCCUCUAACUAGGAGCUCAAAAUUCGGGCAGAAUGCUCCCACAAGAACCCUAAUUUUCUGAAAUUUCUUCCAAACCAGAAAUUGGUUGCAAUUAAUCACUUUUUCCACCUCCUAGAGUCAUUAUAUACCAUUUCCAAUCAUCAUAGAUAGCCACACAAUCAUGCUUAUAUUAAAACAGAAAAAUCCCCAAAAAUAAUAAAACUUCAUCACUUCAACCACAAAUCAAGAAAUAAUCCAUAAUAUUGCAUCUCAUACCACCACUAAUCAUGAUUUAAGCAUCAAUUAAGGGAGGAAAGUGGUUCUUCACAACUUACCUUAGAAACAAGAGAGAGAGAGCUAUUGGUCCUCUUAGCUUUCCAAAUAACUCCACAAAACAACUCACUAUCACUCCCUUAAGUGUUUCUAUGGAACAAAAACAAGUUUAGAUGGUUGAAUUCCUGGAUUUGAGCAAGAGAGAAUCAAGAAGUUGAAGAGGUUUUCUUUCUUCCUUUCCUAGAGAGAAAUUCGGCCAAGCUUGAAGAAAAUGGAAAAUAAUUGGUCAAUUUUUGGUUUUAUUUAGUAAUUGGUAAAAGGUUGAAUAGUAAGUCAAAACAAGAUUUAAUCAUAUGGUGACACAUGUCCCUCUCAUUAAUUCAUGCCUAACUUGUUUUUGUCUUUCUCACACCUAUGCACUUGGUACCUCUAAAUAUCUCAUAACACCCGAUAAAUUAAACCCAGUAUCCAAAACUUAACCUAAUUGGCCGAAUUUUUCCGAACUUUUCGCAUUAGCGGGUCCCACGUCCGUUAUACGUUCUUAAUUUUUCAAAAACUAACCGAUACUAGAAAAAUCAUUUAAAAAUUAUAUUUGCUCCUUAAAAUUAUCUAGAAAUUUUUUCUAAGCACGAAAAUGCAGAAAACAAGCCAUAAAAAUUAAUAAAACCUAGAAAAUGCAAAAAUACGGGUUCUCAUAGAUAGUAUCCUUAAUCACCGAGAAAACCUAAGAUUCAACGAGAAAGAAUAUAGCGCAACCAAUUAGGUGAAAUCGAAGAAACCCAAUAAAUGAUGAGUAAAACGCAUAAAAAUGACUUUAAAGCGAAACGGGGCAUUUGGACUGAUGGACGGAAAUAUCUAGGGUUUCACAAACCAAACGAAAAACUAAACUAAAAAGGGUUAUAAAAUUUUGCGGGAAAAAGUACUUGGACCAAAGAUAAGUCGGAAUCCAACUAGCCUUCAAGUAAAAUUUCGGCAGCAAAUCCCUUGUGUUUACCUAUUUUCCAGCCAUUAAUGGCUUCAUUAUUUCCUCAAAUCAGUCCCAACAUCUCACACAAAAUAAUCUCAUUUCCAAAAGCCAUUCACUAGGCUUAAAGUCAUUCAAGUACAGAAUUUAGCUAGGAAAAUGACCGGAAAUGAAAGUCAUGCCCUAAAAUAUUCCAAUAAGCACAAUAAGACUCGAUUACAAGUCAUAAACCAAUGCCAAAUACUACCGAAAGAGGGUUCCAUAAGCAUACAUAAGCAUUAGAGGAAACCAGAAAAUCCAGAAAUGGAGUUAAGCUUUAACCCUGAAAAAACAGUUUUUGACAUCAUUUUGCGGUUUUGGCACCAAAGGCACUACAAUUAUCGGAUGAAGGUACAAAACCCACCGUUUUGAAGCUAAAAGAUAGGGCUACAAUGUUCCAGAAGGAAACUCUGUCCAGUUUUGAGUGUAACCAGAUAAAAAAUGCAAGAUACUACACUAGAACCGGAAAAACAGAUUCACAAAUCGCAUUCUGGUGCAAACAUCAUAAAACAGGCUACCUAAGUCCAAAUCCAGAAAUUCCAAAGCCAUCUGAAAGAUGAGAAACAGGGAUACAAUUCAUCAGAAGACCUCAACAACUAAUUCUGAAGCAAUCCCAACCAAUUACAGAAGCAAUUCUCAUAUUCGGGUAAAACCAGGACAGCAAGGGUAAUUUUGACUUUUCUCAAGCUACGCUACUCCGAUUGACCUGAAAUUUUGUAGGCACCUCUAAAAUAUCAUUCCCUACAACUUUUAUGUUUUAAGACAAGGCCAAUUCGGCCUCUAACAUGGUGCAAUAAAACCGGACAGAAUGUAAGCUAAUGAACCCUAACUUUCCCAUUUUCCUUCCAAAACAGAAAUUUCUUGUAAUUAACCACACUUUCCACCUUCUAGCUUCCUUCAAUAUCAUUUCCAAUCAUCAUACAAAGCCAUAACAUAUGAAUCAUAUUAAAUCAGAAAAUUCAUGAUUAAAUAGAAAAUGUCAUCAAUCUUCACCAUAAGUCAUGAAAUCAUCCAAAAAAUCGCUUGUUCAACUACCACACCUACUAAUUUCACCUCAUAACCAACAAGGAAACAAUUUCUUAACCACUUACCUUACAAACACUAGAUACAAGGUAGAUGAGAGUCUCUCCCUCCAAACAAAAACCACCAAGCGCUUCAAUCACUCCUAGCAAGUAAGUUUUAUGGAGGAAUUUAAGAAAUAAAUGGUUGGAUUACAAGAUUUUGGCGAGAAAAGGGAACAAAUAUUGAAGAGCUCUCUUUCUUUUCUCUCUAGAGUUGGCUGGCCAAGAAGGUGAAAAUGAAAGACAAAUUUUGGUCAAAAUUGGUUUGGUAAAGGUAAAGAAAGACUAGUCAAAUGCCAAGCUCCAAUCACAAGGCAACAUGUGUCCAUUCCAAGCUUAUCUCAUUUCUUUUGUCUUGCAAGAAUUAAUGAACUAACCAAACCCCUAAUUAUCUCAUAACACCAUGUAAUAUAAACCAUGUAUACAAAACUACUCCAAAUGAACCACAUUUACCACACUUAUCGCACUAGUGGGUCCCACGUUCGGUAUACGCUCUUAAUUUCUCAAAAAACUAACCAAUACUAGAAAAUCAUCUAAAAACUAUAUUUACUCAUAAAAAUUAUUUUCACAAUUUUUUUAAAUAAAUAAAAUGUGGAAAAAUGUGCAAUUAAAAGAAAAAAAAAUAAAACCUAGUACUUAAGAAAAUUAUGGGCUCUAACAUAUUCCGCUCACAUGUCUCCAUACCAAGGCUGGCCGUCAAGCAAAAGUUCAACUCCACAAGCUUAAAUUUCCAUAAGCAAACUAAUGGAACAUAUGCAAGCUGGAAAAAUUACAUGACAUGGCUAAAAUAUAUAGUAAACAUGAUAUUAGCGUUUAACACUCAUUUUCAUUUUCCUUAACUAAAACGGGAAAUUUAUUGCUUGGGACAUGAAACAUGUAAAAGUGAAGUUUUCACCUCCCAAAACCUUUCAUUUUCUACUCCAAUUCACUACUCAUACCAAAGUUAAUGUUUAAUCACGUGUUUAGGACAUUAACAAGUUAAUUUCACCACACAAAACCAAGAUUAAAGCUAAACCAAAAUCACUCUCUCUUUCGGUCUGCCUCAAGGAGAAUUCCAGCCAUGAAAGCAGUGAAAUAAAUGGAGUUUAAACCACUUAAGGUCCAUGGUUUUGGUUUAUUUCCAACACAUACUUGUAGUUUAAAAGUCUUCUAGGGUGUUUUGAGCAAAUUGAGCUUAACAUCAUCUUGAAAAUUUAGCGAUCAAAGCUGAAAUUCCAGCAAGCAUUCUUUCUUUGGAAAAAUCAUAACUUAAAUUAUAAAUGUCAAAAACUCAUACAAAUUAUCUUGUUUAAAACUAGACUUGAAAUACUAACAAUUUUUAGAAGACAACUCAAGGAGAUUUGGUUCAUAAGUUAAUCCAAAUUGAGUCAUAAGUUACCACAACAUCCCAAUUUUUACUUGUUCAGGACCGAUUUUUCAGUCAAAUUUGCUGAUUUUCUGGUGCACAUAUAAAACGAACCACAGUUCCAAUUUUAUACCGUUGGAAAGAUCUAUGAGUAUAGUUUCAAACACAAUUGACGGCACUCAAUUUCAAUUUUUCUACACUAUGUUAUGAUCCGUUUACUAAAACUGUCUAGAGGUAACUGUUACCCAAAUUUCCAGCUUUCACAAGAGUUAUUUCAACUUUAUCUCUGCAAAUCUCACCUCUAAACCAGCAAUUUGCAACCAAGAUCAAAACCAACAUGCUAUAUAUCAUACAAAACAAGAAAUAUAACAGUUAGAGUGUGACUUCCUAGUGGAAACUCCUCAAACGGACAAGACAGCAAGCUGUGACACGGAUGGAGCAAAGUUCCUCCAAUUUUCCUCAAGCUGUCUUCACUUUUUUUUUUCUCAUCAAAACAACACCUUUCUUACUUAGCUUCAUCCAGAAGUCACGCAAUCACAUGUUUAUAAUAUAAGGUAUGGUAUUAAUCAAGCAUUUCCUAGCAAAACUUAACAAAAAUUGCAAAUAAGGGUUGAAAAUUGAUAGCUCAACUCUCUUGGCUUCCUCCUAAAAAUUCCAGCAGUCAAAACUAUUGCAUACAUGAAAUAUUUCUGCCAAUAUUCAGCUAUCAAAAGAAUAAUGGAUUCCCUAGCAAACAUCCAGCAAAAUAAACCAAAAGCUAAAAGAGAUGGCAGCCUUGACUAGUUCGAUUCAACCUGGAAACUUUCCAGCUACAAACAAGCUACUUCCACUAGUUUCUACCUCUAUCAAACUUCAAAUCAAACAUGUAUUCACAUCUUUGUAAAGUAUAAGGAAAGAUUGAAGUUUUUCAGCCAUAUUACCUUAUUUUUCUGCCACAAAUCAAUCUAAAAGUUGGCUCACCUUCUUGAUUCCUCCAUGGUUCAAGAAAGCUGAAAAAAAAAUGCAGGCUGUCCACUUCCUUCUCCUUCGGUCCAAGUUUCCUCGUUUUCUUCACCUCCCAAUAUGGCUUUCUUGUCUCUUUCUCACUCAUGGUUUAGGCUUGACGAAAUAGGGAGAUUUUGUGGAAUUACCAUGGCUAAAUCAGCCUUAACUCUUGGCUGAUGAUAAGAAGGAGAGGAUGAAGUUUUUUUUUUCUCAACUCUCUUCUCUCUCUCAGCUCCAACAUGAAGUGAAGAAAGGGGAAAUUGGC
rnacentral:lncRNA from 1 species